CUUGGACACAUGGAGGAAAUGAGUGUGGAUGGCUGCCUUCUGGUACUGCCUCCUGCACGUCAGUCUGCAUAUUCAACUGUCUUCCUCCUUGUUGGGUGGAGCUACUGAGAAUCCAUACUACAAAUGCCGUCCUGAAAUUUACAUUGUUCCAAGGAAGAGUCACAAGAUUUGUCCCUAACCAGCAUGAAGAGAGUAGAAGCAGUUGGUGUAGUUCUGGAUGCACCGUUUCCUUCCCUUCCUGGUCACACAGCUGGAUCCUGCUUUCCUACUUUCCAAGGUUACGUCCAAGAAAUGAAGUUCUGCCUCUUAGAGUGAGAGAGGAUCAGGGUAGAGAGGUCUUCCCAUAAGGUCCGAUGCUGAAGGAGCAGUGUUCCAAGAGUCUAAGUGGGGAAGGCACAAACAGAAAAGUGACUGUCUAGAGCAGAUCCUUCUGUGGACCCAAGCAAAGCAAACUUACUGUGGCUGUCUGAUGAGAUGUUAGAAUUGCUCAUUUCAGCAGGGAGUCCACAUUGACUGACAGACCUCAUCCUCUUUUGGGGGAGGAUUUGGUCUUUACCCCUGAGUCCUUUCAGUUAACUUAAGGGCUUAACUACUAGCUCCCACUUGCUGUGUCUCUAUUCAGCACUGACAGCGUGAAUAUCAGCAGGGAGUUAAAUACUCUCCGUCACUUUUACAAGUUCCAGUUGCUUUAGAAUGGAUAUGUUGGAAGGACUAAGAGAAGAUUGCAUUUAAUGGAGUGGCCAAUGAUCAAGACCCAAGACCUGGAAACAAAAGUGAAAGAGACCCUACUACCUAUUGCAUCAAGUUCUCUUGAUAGGACUGAUGUCACAAUUGGCUAGAAGGACAGCAUGAAGACACUGGGUGUCCCCAUGUCACAUCUCGGUAUGGUACCUAUAUGCAGUAGCUGCACAAAUGUUAGCUGUUAUAAUUAGACACUGAGUAAAUGCCCUCUGAAUUGCUACUGAACUGGACGGCCAGAUCCUGUUCAAAAUCAAACAUA
rnacentral:sRNA from 1 species